rnacentral:rRNA from 1 species
UACGGAAGGGGCAAGCGUUGUUCGGAAUCAUUGGGCGUAAAGGGCGCGUAGGUGGUUCUGUAUGUCUACCGUGAAAGCGUACGGCUCAACCGUAUUUUGUCGGUGGAAACUGCAGGACUUGAGGCUGGGAGGGGCUGGUGGAAUUCCCUGUGUAGCGGUGAAAUGCGCAGAUAUCAGGAGGAACACCGGUGGCGAAGGCGGGUCUCUGGGCCGUAACUGACGCUGAGGAGCGAAAGCAUGGGGAGCAAACAGG